rnacentral:misc_RNA from 1 species
AAUUCUCAACUUCAUUAGUUUUUAUAACUGAUUGAAGCUUGGAUGUGGGGGUUUGCUGGCGUCUUUAGAUGUUUUCGGCUCCCCUUAAAUGCAUUAGUAGGAACCCGUUUGUUGGCGUUCAUAGUGUGAUAAUUAUCUACACUUUGGUCAGUUCAACAGGCUCUAAUGAAGUUAUACCAUAUAUCUUCAGAACACUAACGUGUUUCUGGCGUGGGUUUUGCACCUAGUGCUUUACCUGGGUAUGGGGUUUUGCAUAUUAGUAUGCUUUACCUGUUUUUCAUUAGAGUAGGAAAUCUGCUCUCUAACCGUCUGCAUUUGUGGACAAUAUUUGACA